GGAGUACUGUCUUGUUAAUUCAAGAUAUAAGCUGAAGGAGAACCCUUCUAGAAAAGUACAUAAAGGGCUAGGGAUGUGAGAGGCUUAUUUAGGGUGCUUUUCACUUGUUCCACAUUAGCAAAAUUUAAAAGAAGAAUUACAGAAAGUCUUCUAGGUUGAAAUUUGCGGGGGUGGGGGGGGCUGGCUAAUCAUCUUCAGUCUCUUUGCACCAUCUGCGCAUUGCCCAGAUCAGUUAAAAUUUCCGUUUGCACUGGGAUUUAGGUCAGUAAUAGAGAACUUGCUACAUGGAUCCACACUACUUAAAGGGUGGUUCCCAGACCAGAAGAAUCAGUAUUACCUGGGAGCUUUUCAAAACUCACCUCAGACCUAUAGAAUCAGAAUCUAUCUUUAUACAAAAUCUCUAAGCUAUUUAUAUGCAUGUUAAACUUUGAAAAUACCAGCUUGGAGCACUCAUCUCCAAAGUGGGGCAUAUUUCCCGAAGGGAUGUCCAAGAAGAUUCCUUGGGGAAUCUUAUUACAGUAAUGAGAACUUAUUUAUCUUCAUAUACUUGUAUAAUUUCUAUUUUGUACAUUUUAAUAAUAGGUGUAAUACUGCACUGUAAUACAUGAAUAAAACUUGUAAAUGGUAGAUACUGGUUGUGCAUGAUCAAAAUUUUCCCUGGGCUCCACUCUGACCCACUAAAACAAUCUAUGGGGAUGGGCGUCAGAAAUCUGCAUUCCAGACAAUGUUCAUGGACCACCUGCUGCACACUAGCAUUUAAGAACCACUGUGUAUGACCACCUUCCACCUGCAUCAUUCGGAGCAUGACAUUAGACAGUGUUUAUUUUCUCCCUGAAACUUAAUUACCAUGUCUAUUGUUUCUCACAUGGCCCCACACCAAACCAGCAAGAUUUUUAUCACACUACUUUAUGGCAUUUAUAUCAUUUGCAUACCUUUAUGCCAUUUCAUCGGCUAAUUUAAUACAAAUACUCUACUAUGAUUUUGGAAUAUGCUCUUUAGUUAUCUGUCACGAACAACAAUAAAAACAAAACAAAAUAAAACAAAACCAAGAAUAUUUCUAAAUACUUUCCUUGUCUAGGAAUUAGUUGAUAUGUAAGCUUGUAAGCCUUACUCUCAGCCUCCAAGACUGGGAGGUAAUAGACAAAACCAAAUGGAGCUUGGAAACGAAGAAUGUUCAGAAACACAUUCCCACAGGUGUCGUUUCCUAAUUCCUCCCCAGCGCAGUGAGGGACUAGGUGUGAUUCUCCAGUUGUCUUAAAUUUAAAGGAGAUCCAAAAAUAAAUAAAUAAAUAAAGGAGAUCCUAUUUCAUUCCUAAUUUUUAGGGAGGACCAAGGAACAAUUUAGGCUAAGGUCAGCCCCUCAAGACACUCCCAUUUUUCCUAUCUGUUUCCCCUUGGGUUUAAAGAACAUAUAAACGGUAAGCAAACUCUUCAUGGGAUUGUUCUGUGCAUUGCAGACACAAAGACUGAUAACUGACAUAGUCUUUGUGUAGAGCGGGUUGAAGUAGAAUACAAAAGAGUCAUGUAGCAACUAAAUACACUGUGUAAAAUGAAAAGAAAAAAGGGUGGGGAUCUGGGUAAAAUCUAUGGGAGUACUCAAGGAGAAAGCAAUUUCUUCUUUGUUGACGAGGUGGUGGGAGAAUUAAAGGAAGGCUUGUAGCACAGUUUCUCAUGUGCUAGGCUGGCCUUGAAGGAUGAGUGAAAUUUUAUGAGCAGAGAAAGGAGAGGUGAAGUGAAAAGGAAAUUCAUUACUUCUAGGCUUGAUGCCUGCUGCUUCUCAUAUUACCUAUUUCAUAUAGUUUUCAUAUAAUGCAAUGUGGGGUGGGCUCAUACCAUCACCAUCAUCACCACCAAUAGUGUUAGUUCUUGACUAUUUGCCUUGCAAAUGCACUUUUACAUACAUUUUCUAAUUUAAUCCCCAAAAGCCAUCCUGGGAUUAUGUUCUAUCCUUACCCCUAUUUGACUGGUAGGGAAAUAGAGGAACAGAAGAUGUAACUUGCCCGAGGUCACACAGCUCGUAAGAUGUAUGAUUGGGUUCAGACCUAAGUAUUUGGACUCAUGUCUCUCAAGAUGACUCAUUGGUCACUGAUGCCAUUAAUGAGAUAUGUAUCUGUUGAUAGAACCAAGUGUCAUGGCUGUGACACCAGUCAUUGAAUUAACUAUUCAAGUGAUGUUAAGUCCAUGAACAACCACCUCCGUUUGACCAAGUUAAAAUGCUCUUCAGAAAGCUGGCUGGUGCCAUAUAAUUUUUGUUCCUGAACAAGGUGAUUUGUUGUAAUGCUGCCAAUUGCCUAGCAAUCAACUGCCAGUGGAUAUAAACCUUGCUACCAUUUAGAGAGCAAUAAGGAGGAGCCCUUGAUGGCUGAGAGUUGGCAGGAAGUUGCGGGUCCCACUGCCAUCUAAAUCCAACCUAUGUGAAGUAAAUUGUCCUUGCGGUGCCUGACUGGUGACCUCUCUGGGCUGCAAAUUUGGUCCCCGUCCAGGGCACUCUUUGGAUUAUGGAUCUGCGUCUCUGGGACCGCGAAUAUGGUCCUUUUCCCGAGCACUAAAUUUCUCCUAAAAUUUAUUUUCCAAAACAUUAUUUUUAAUGUUAAACAACCCCAAAACGCAUUUUUCAUGUUUAUUGCCAGUGCAUAAAAUUACAAUGCUGUGAACAUUUUUAGCAGCAUACCAAUAUCGUGAUCCAUAAUUUAAAAGGUGACUUUAGUGUGGCAAUAAAUUUCAUGAGACACUGAAACCUCUGCAGAAAGUAUACAAAUUAGGGGCCAGCCAUUCAGCCAACAUUUGAGGGGAUGUGGUUAAUUACUAUGUCUCCACCAUUAGAACUUUGGGAACGCUGUUACCUGCUCCAUGGUGGACCUGCUGGAGCAGGAAAUAAUGAGGGCCUGGGUUUGCAAACUUUCCUUUACGAAGACGGCAGUGACGUUAAGUGCAUGUAGGGAGAGUGAUGAAAUCAGGGUAAGAGACAAAUGCCUUCACAGACUCGUCCCCUUGAAAAAAAGAAAAAAUUAGCAAACACACACACUCAGUUCUGUUGCAUUUACCAGAAGGUGAAUACUGUGUAUCAGGAGUGGGGCUAUUAGCUCUCGCUGGCUGAGUUUCACAGUUUGAAAUUAAUUUUUUUUCCUGUAUUUUCGCCCUCCUGAGGUCCUGACCAAUUGCCACUUUGUCGAUGAGCUUUUUUAAUUUUCAAGGAAGGUAGGUGGUGUGUGAAACAAAUCAAUUGCUCCUUCAGAAACCACAUCUGUAUGACUUUUCGUUUUAGCUUCUGCCAAGCUGGAGGCAACUCAGAUUUUUUUUUUUUUUUUCUCCAAAAGGUACGAGGCCCAAUUAGGAAGCCAAGUGAAUAUGGAAACAGUUUCAUCAGGCAAAGAAACUCCAUAAGGAUCACUUUCUUAGCAGAAGGUGGUCGCUGAUGGAGGCUGGGGUGAGAUGCUGGACAAUGAACACAUGCCUCGCAAAUGGACAUCGAGGUCACCUACUCCCUCUGUGUGAUCACAUGACGGGACUUAGUGAUGGUUGGAAAUUAUUUAGCAAGUGCAAAGCUCUGAUGAAGCCGUGGAAAUCAGCACAACUCCACAAGAUGCAGGGCUGAAGGAAACCAUGCCAUAUGCACACACAGGCACAUGCACGAGCACAUGCCCCAGAUUAUGUUUAAGAUGCCUCUCCACAUUGGCUUCAUUACUCUAUGUAGGCUAAUGACGCCUGAGACGAACAGAGCUAUCGCAGCUCUGAAAAUGGUAAGUACCAUAUAGAAAGGCCCCCCCGGGAAAUUUGGCCUGUUAAGUCUUUUCAGGUCUGAUGGAUUUUUUUUAAUCUAUCUGCCAGACGGCUUUGAAAGCUAAAUAGACGCCCAUCAACAGGCUGUCUGUCAAUGGUCAACAACUUCACAUAUUUUGCUUGUGUUGACAUUUUUGUUUCAAUCUAAUGGGUCGUUUGCCAGAUGGCUGCUGUCCUCAUUAGGGACUCUUAGCACAUCCAGUGAGUAUUUGGGGGGCUGGUUAAAGUACAAAACUGGGUAGCCCUUUGUUUCUAACUCUUUUUUUCUGUAGAAAGAUCUUAAUUAACUGAUGGAUGUGUUUCAAGUGGCGUAUGCCUUUGGCUAUCAUACAUGUAUGUAUAUGUAUAAGCAUGUAUGGUGGGUAGUGGGCCUACAGUUCCUUCUUGUGGACAUGGCUGAGAGUGGAGAAGGUGCUACAUCCUAAAAUAUAAAUGGAGGAAGGCUGGACACUAGUUAGCUUGACUGACAGCAACUGGAAGUUCGACCUCCUUAGAAACCAACACUACAUCGAGUAUCCUUUAGCAACUCGGUUUCUGAGGGCUGCACGAUCUUUGACUCUCACACAGGAGAAAUUUUACAAAGAUCUAAUCACUUCCUGAGUAUGGGAGGCAACCAGAAAUGCUUUUUCUCCCCAUCGCCCUCCAAAUGCUCCCCUUUGCAGCAAAACUUCUCAGGAGAGUUGCAAUAAUCACUUCCUACUUCCUAACCUGUGCAAGUUGUUGAACUAUUGUAGGUCAACUUCCAACACACCCUUCUGUAUUCUUGUUUAAGAGAAAGCCUUAGGCAACUUCAUCUAACGCUAGAGUUUUAAAUUUCAUCUAUGGACAAUAACUUCCAAACUUUAUCCUGUAUGCUCUGGAUUGUUACUGAAUUCCAUUCAUAGACACAAUUUCACAUUUGAUUUCUCCACGUGGAUGACCACUUACACAUCUUCAACUUAACACAAACGAACUCUCUAAAUAUUUUCCAAAAAAAAUUGUCUCCCAUAUUCAUUCUUGUCUUAGUAAUGGCAGUACUAUCUACCCCAUCUUUCAGGCUAAAGGAGUGGGAGUUUUCCUUGAGUUCUCUUUUGACCUCACUCCUCACAUGCCAUCCAUCAGCAAGUCUGCUGCCCACAAAGUGUCUCUCAUCUCUUCAUUUCUCUCCAAAUCUGCUACCAACAACCAAAACAUCUUACUUGAAUUACUGCAACUACCCUCCUAAUUUGUUCUUUACUUCUCUUUUUGUCCCUCAACAAUCCACUUUUCUUAGCAUCAAAAGUUAUCUUUACAAACAAAUUCAGGAGUUCCCAUCAUGGUGCAGCAGAAACAAUCCGACUAGGAACAAUAAGGUUGCAGGUUCGAUCCCUGGCCUCAGUCAAUGGGUUAGAGAUUUGGUGUUGCCUUGAGCUGUGGUAUAGGUCGCAGAUACUACUUGGAUCUGGCCAUUUCUGUGGCUCUGGUGUAGGCAGGCAGCUGUAGCUCCAAUUCAACUCCUAGCCUGGGACCUCCAUAUGCCACG
rnacentral:lncRNA from 1 species